GGCGUCCGCUAGGGCGCGCUGCGAGACCGGGAAUGCCCGCCCGGCGCCCCGCCGCCCCGGCCGCGCGCACACGCCGUGCCCUCGCCCCCCUCGAAAUCAUAUUUACAGUUCUUUUUUUUCCCCCCUCUCCUGUGACAUUUUCUCCAAAUCGGAAAAUGAAGUGUAAGUCGAGCUUUGCCGCAGGCGGCCCUCGGUCUCCGCUUUCCGGCUCGGGGUCCCGGAGUGAGAUGCGCUGCCCCCGGCAGUGCGAACCCCGGGGGACGGAGUGGGGCCCCCAGCCCAGCACCCCGGGCCCGGCCGCUCCGCCAGCGGAGACCGCGGAGUCCGGCUCUGCGCCGCGCGCGGGUGCGCUCCGGACGCGGCGAGUCGCAGGCCUCGCCGCGGGUUCAAGUGCAUCCCCGCGGCUGGAGCCCGCGGCUCUGAGAGCGAGUUCUGCCCUGCUCAGCCCCCUCUGGGAGUUCUGUGCGCCCGCGGCUCCCGGGCCCCUCUCCCCGACCCCGCAGCGCGCUGGGCCGCCGGCUGGGGGCAGGCACCCGGCUCGCGCUCCUCCUGGCCCGGGCCGGGCCCCCGGCGCGGCGCUGCCCCCGGGCCGAGCAGGAGGCUCCGCCUGGAAAAGAAGUCAGACUUCCUCUCCACGCUGCUCCGACUGGAAUCUGGAAUCGGCAGGAAAUUGCUCCAACACCCGGGCCGCGCCUUUGCAGUCAGCCCUCGCUUUGCUGAAGAGAAGCAGCUCCCACCAAAGUCUUGCCUCCCCCUCCCCCCGAAAGCCCCGCGCAGAUCGCAGUUCACCUGUCCUUCAGAAAAAAUAUUUUCAUAACUAUUAAAAACAGCAUCACGACUAGUAUUUUUAACUGUCUUCAGGUAGAUAUAUGAUUGCUCUACCCAUCUGGGACAGUGCUUCCAGUCUCCUGUGCAUCUAGCUGGGGUCAUGUGACGAGUUUUCACCACUGGAAAACGAGCAGAAGGAGCAUUUCUAAGAAGUGAAUGUGCCAUCUCCACUAUCUCUGAGGGCAGGAAAUGAUUCUGAAGACAUAGGGCAAGGCCAAGCCUCAAGUUAGAAACCUGAAUCCUUCAUCCCACAGCUUUCAAGCUCAACAUGCCCAUCCCUCCCCAGACCCAUUAAGUGGCAAAGAAGGGAAAUAUUUCUACUUUCUUCAUGGUCUUCGAAAGGAUGGACACACAGCCCUGAGGGAAAUCGCUGGCCAGAGGAAAGCAGUCCCCUAGAGAUAGCAAUCCAAAUAUCAUCAUAGAGCUGGGCCACAGCCAGCAUCUCCAUCAGCAACUUUGAAGAGUUGUCUGUCUUCCCAGCACAAUAAAACUGGAGACAUGAGCAUCCAGAGCUCCAGCCAGCACAAUUACAUGAAGCCAAAGCGCAUUAUCACUUCUAGGUUGCAGGAUUUAUGACCAGCUCCGAUGGAAAAUAAAGACAGAGAUACUCUACUUGUCUGAAUUCAUCACUCACAAAAGGCAGUAUGUUUUAAUCAUAGAGAAGUUGUCUAUAUUGUACUUUUUCUAACAAAAACCUUCACAAGCAGAGCAGAAACGGAUACCAGCAUCUUAAAGAAAAAAAGAAAAAUGCAAAAGAUUGCCAGUUUGAUUCUGUUCAGAAAAUAUGCCCUUGAUAUCCUUUAUUGUUGAAAAGCUCCUUUCAAAUGCAUUGAGGCAAGUGCUUCUAUUUUGGAGUUUCCCUGGGUUUGGGAAACUGCUUCUAACCUGAGUGGAACAGAGGGGUAGGUUUGUAGGUCUGUAUGGUGUAUCAGUGUCAGCUGAUCCAGGGACUAAGUAAUGAGGCUAAAAUCAUUCUACUUCUAGGAUGCCUGUGACUUCCAUUUGCCAUGAGAGUGUUAAUUCCUGUGGCAGUACGCCUGCCAUGAGCUCCCCCAGAGCCAUGCUCUUCACCAGCACAGCAUUCUCAGGCAUUACUACAGAUGCUCAUUAAUCAUCUCUACUCUAGGAGGUACGCCCUGUGAGCUCAGACUCUUGGUGUUCCUGGCUCAGUGCUAGGACAUGGUGAAUGCAGAAAAUAUUGAAGAGCUCUGAUUAGGUUGUGAUUUUAAGUAAUUAAAAUUCUUGGGCUGGCCCUGUGGCAUAGUGGUUAAGUUCAGCAUGCUCCACUUCAGCAGCCUGGGUUCAGUUCCAGGGUGUGGACUCAAACCACUCAUUGGUGGCCGUGCUGUGGUGGCGACCCACAU
ensembl:lncRNA